rnacentral:lncRNA from 1 species
CCACAACAACAUCAGCUUCUCCUCCAGUGCGCUCAACAUCAUUCUCUCCUCCAGUUCGCUCAACAUCAGUCUCUCCUCCACAAACUCCUCCAGCAGCAUCUCUCUCUGUCCCCCCAGUGCUUGUGAUUGUACUGGGAGUUGUGCUCUUACUGCUCUUAGUGCCACAGCUUAUACUGAUUCAGCAGAACAGAGUGAUGAGGAGAGCUCUCUCUAAGAGGAGGCACAGGACGAUGACUGAGGCUGUUUAUGAGGAGAUUCAGCACAGACACAAUCACUUCACUCAGAGGGACUAAAUGGACCAAAAGGCUCCAGAAGAAUAUGUCAACACUGAUAGAAUUGUGAGAAUUGUCCAUACUAAAAUGAUCAUUCUAAAAUAAAUAUGAAGUAGGACCGCA